GCGCCACCAUCCACUCAUUCACCGCGGUGAUUCCUGCCGACGCACGCUCCGAUGCCGCUCGGGGGCAGAUGUCCUCCGCCAGUAGCACCAAGUCGUCCGCAUACGCGACCAGCUCCACGCCGUCCGGAAGGUCGACAGAGAGGACACCGUCGUACAUGAUGUUCCACAGGGUGGGACCGAGGAUCGAUCCCUGUGGAACUCCUGCGCUAAGGUGCCUCGACGCUGGACCCUCACUCGUGUCGUAGACUAGGCGGCGGUCAGACAUCCAACUCGCCAGCACAGGGAUGACUGGCUUGUGGCCGCCAAGCGUUCAUAGCGACGUGGCUUUUUGAUCCUUCGAUGUCGGCUCUUCCUAUCAUUGCGAAGCAAAAUUCACAAAGCGUAGGAUUGUUCACCCUUUCAAGGGAACGUGAGCUGGGUUUAGACCGUCGUGAGGCAGUGUAGCAUACGCUACGCACAAACUUAACCCGUCACACAAUGUUGUUUCAGUUAUACUUAAUUCAGCUUAACUUAACUCAACCAAACUUCAACUUAACGUUAAGACCCAGCCACGCGUUAUCAUAACAAAAACACAACCCAACGCAAGAACGCAAGUUAUGAACGCUGUGCGCGAAAUGCGAAGUCAACAAACAAUAACGUAGACUUGAGUCAUGCGACACCUAAGCGGAAGAACCUCACCACCGGAACCAAGCGCAUGACUAAGUGGCCCACAUUAAUAUAGCAAUUAAAUCACCGGAACACCAAUACCGAACUAACCAAUCACAAGUCAACAUGAUGUCAACUAACCUAAUUUUACCAACCAAGUUGUUAGUAUAAAAUAAAGAUGACGACGAACGAAAGGAGUUCAGCUCGCGCAGUCCAGUUCAGCUCGCUCAGUUGAACUCAGCUCACGCAGUUCAGUUGAGUCGUUGAGUAAAAUACAAGAUGUAAAGUGUUAUUUUGUUUCCGCUGAAUCCUCCGGCAACGCUCCCGGGCACAGGAGUACCACAUGGCGACCGUGCUAAAAGAAAGAUCCACCGGAACAGGUUAGUUUUACACUACUGGUGCGCAAGUGGUGGUGCUAUCUUAAUGGAAUUCCUGUGCAGUACGAGAGGAACCAAUGGCUCAAUACUAGUCCGAGCGGACUUUGGUAUGACGCUACGUCCGUCGGAUUAUGCCUGAACCCCUCUUAGGUCGUAACCAAACCAAGCUGGUAGCAAAUAGAUAGGUGUUGGUAAAUAGUUGGCUUAUAACCCCAUGAGUUACGGUAGUAGUACAAUCGUCUCUAUGCUAUUAUUGGAAUACCCUCAAACUGAGCCUUGAAGUGAGUUCACCUACCGUGGAACCUGAAAGGGGAAGCGAGGGGUGAAAGCGCUGACCUUCCAAAAGUAUUUUCAACACCUAAGACCAUCCGAAAACGACGGAACUACAGGCUGGGAGCUAUGCAUUGAAGAGAGAUGUACAUUUCGAUCCUUUCAGGCUACCCUUGCUUGGCGGUUGAG
rnacentral:ncRNA from 1 species